ensembl:lncRNA
AUGUGUGUUAUGGCUUUACCUUUCUACCUUAACAACACUAUCAACAAGGCAGGUCCUAGUUUCUACCUUCUUAACAACACUAUCAACAAGGCAGGUCCUACUGGACCUAGUUUCUACCUUCUUAACAACACUAUCAACAAUGCAGGUCCUAGUUUCUACCUUCUUAACAGCACUAUCAGCAAGGCAGGUCCUACAGGUCCUAGUUUCUACCUUAACAACACUAUCAACAAGGCAGGUCCUAGUUUCUACCUUCUUAACAGCACUAUUAGCAAGGCAGGUCCUACAGGCCCUAGAUUCUACCUUCUUAACAGCACUAUCAACAAGGCAGGUCCUACAGGCCCUAGUUUCUACCUUCUUAACAACACUAUCAACAAGGCAGGUCCUACAGGCUCUAGUUUCUACCUUCUUAACAGCACUAUCAACAAGGCAGGUCCUACAGGCCCUAGUUUCUACCUUCUUAACAACACUAUCAACAAGGCAGGUCCUACAGGCCCUAGUUUCUACCUUCUUAACAACACUAUCAGCAAGGCAGGUCCUACAGGUCCUAGUUUCUACCUUCUUAACAACACUAUCAACAAGGCAGGUCCUAGUUUCUACCUUAACAGCACUAUCAGCAAGGCAGGUCCUACAGGUCCUAGUUUCUACCUUCUUAACAACACUAUCAACAAGGCAGGUCCUACAGGCCCUAGUUUCUACCUUCUUAACAGCACUAUCAACAAGGCAGGUCCUACAGGUCCUAGUUUCUACCUUCUUAACAGCACUAUCAGCAAGGCAGGUCCUACAGGCCCUAGUUUCUACCUUCUUAACAACACUAUCAACAAGGCAGGUCCUAAAGGCCCUAGUUUCUACCUUCUUAACAGCACUAUCAACAAGGCAGGUCCUACAGGUCCUAGUUUCUACCUUCUUAACAGCACUAUCAGCAAGGCAGGUCCUACAGGCCCUAGUUUCUACCUUCUUAACAACACUAUCAACAAGGCAGGUCCUAAAGGCCCUAGUUUCUACCUUCUUAACAGCACUAUCAACAAGGCAGGUCCUACAGGUCCUAGUUUCUACCUUCUUAACAGCACUAUCAGCAAGGCAGGUCCUACAGGCCCUAGUUUCUACCUUCUUAACAACACUAUCAACAAGGCAGGCCCUCGUUUUUACCUUCUUAACAGCACUAUCAACAAGGCAGGUCCUACAGGUCCUAGUUUCUACCUUCUUAACAGCACUAUCAGCAAGGCAGGUCCUACAGGUCCUAGUUUCUACCUUCUUAACAGCACUAUCAGCAAGGCAGGUCCUACAGGCCCUAGUUUCUACCUUCUUAACAACACUAUCAACAAGGCAGGCCCUAGUUUUUACCUUCUUAACAGCACUAUCAACAAGGCAGGUCCUACAGGCCCUAGUUUCUACCUUCUUAAAAGCUCUAUCAACAAGGCAGGUCAUACAGGCCCUAGUUUCUACCUUCUUAACAGCACUAUCAGCAAGGCAGGUCCUACAGGUCCUAGUUUCUACCUUCUUAACACUAUCAACGAGGCAGGUCCUACAGGCCCUAGUUUCUACCUUCUUAACAGCACUAUCAACAAGGCAGGUCCUACAGGUCCUAGUUUCUACCUUUGUAACAACACUAUCAACAAGACAGGUCCUACAGGCCCUAGUUUUGUUGCACCUGGACUACUGUUCAGUCGUGUGGUCAGGUGCCACAAAGAGGGACUUAGGAAAAUUGAGACCACACUAAAUAGCCUAUAG